GAUGAACGCUGGCGGCGUGCCUAAUACAUGCAAGUCGAGCGAACGGACGAGAAGCUUGCUUCUCUGAUGUUAGCGGCGGACGGGUGAGUAACACGUGGAUAACCUACCUAUAAGACUGGGAUAACUUCGGGAAACCGGAGCUAAUACCGGAUAAUAUUUUGAACCGCAUGGUUCAAAAGUGAAAGACGGUCUUGCUGUCACUUAUAGAUGGAUCCGCGCUGCAUUAGCUAAUUGGUAAGGUAACGGCUUACCAAGGCAACGAUGCAUAGCCGACCUGAGAGGGUGAUCGGCCACACUGGAACUGAGACACGGUCCAGACUCCUACGGGAGGCAGCAGUAGGGAAUCUUCCGCAAUGGGCGAAAGCCUGACGGAGCAACGCCGCGUGAGUGAUGAAGGUCUUCGUAUCGUAAAACUCUGUUAUUAGGGAAGAACAUAUGUGUAAGUAACUGUGCACAUCUUGACGGUACCUAAUCAGAAAGCCACGGCUAACUACGUG
rnacentral:rRNA from 1 species